UAAAAACUAGGAUUAGAUACCCUAGUAUGAUAAAAUGUAAAGAUUAGUAUGGGAAGAAACUUAAAAAUUUUGGCAGUUAAUUAUUAAUUAGAGGAACUUGUUUAUAGAAUUUGCUCUUUAAAUUUGACUAAUUUAUGUUUAUUUAUCUCCGUUUUUAAACAAAAGUUUAAUAAAUUAAAUUUUAAAUUUCAGGUCAAGAUGUAGCUUGAAUUUUUAAAUAUUAGUUACAUUUAUGUAAUAAAUGAAUAUCUUUUAAUGGAAAAAUUAAUGAAAUUGAAUUUAGUUGUAAUUGUAUUUAUAAAAGUAUUAUGAAUCUAUAUAAUUUAUGUACAUAUUGCCCGUCACUUCUUUUGUAAAAAGGAAUAAGUCGUAACAAAG
rnacentral:rRNA from 1 species